ensembl:lncRNA
CCAGGGCGAUGGAAGGGGCCACCCAAUCCCCCUUUACCCCUGGGGGCUGCCUGCUCAUAGGAUCCUGAAGUGCACUGGGGAGGUGGGAGUGCGGUGCCCAAUGCUGCCCCACUCGCAUCCCAAAGGCCAGGACAGGACCGGGCGCCCGUCCCGCUCCCACCGCAGCGUUCCUCCCCGCCUCGCCGCGCUGGCAGGGCAGGAGGCAGCGAGGUGCCGGGCUGGUGGAGGAAACCCAAACUCAACUCCCUAUGAAAGGGGCUUUGUGUGCCCAGGAAGGAGCAGCCCUCCUCCUCCUCCUCUUCCUCCUUCUCCUCCUCUCCACGUUGCAGGAGCGUGGGCGAACCUUCGGCUCUGCUGAGUUGGGACUUCGGAGGGGGUGGUGGGAGCUGCCCCUGCGCUGCCCGCUGCUGGGACCCCCAGCCCGUGGGCAGGGGACACCCUGGGUGCUGCAGGGAAACUGAGGCACCGAGCAGGCAAGGUGUCCUGCAGCCUCCUACUCUGCUCGGCCUCCCAAAAGGGCUUUUAUCCAUUGGUAGCAAGUGUGGCAACGAGAGGGGAAAAAUGCAGUGCGUGACCCAGCCCCCAGGGCUGCGUGGCUGUGCCAAGCCAUCAUGGCACCGGUGUCCCAGCUGGUGCCGUCCCGGUGGGGUCUCUGUGGCUGGGGCUGGCUGCUCUGACACUAUCACAGGUGAUAGGCAUGGGGACAUUGUCCUACAUCCUCGCUCUGCCACCAGCUUGCCCUCACCCCUGCACCACCACCUGCCUCAGUUUCCCGUCCCAUUUAGGCACGCUGCAGGUCCGGCCUGGCAUACCCACAUUGCCCACCCCAGCAGCGCCAGGGAGGGGACACAGCACAGCACUGAGUGCCUCACGGUGCCCCACAGGAACUCCCACACACCUGUGGUUCCCAGCAGGGCAGUGGGGUCCCCCAGUGAGUGCCUGGCCCCGGCUCCCGCGCCCCGGCUCCGGCAGGGGGCUUGUUCUGUGCCUGGACAGGAAGACGAAUGAAUUCCAUUAUGGGAUCGCGAUUUUAUUCCACGUGUCAGGGAGCCUGAGAUUAACUUGCUCACCAGGCUGUGACAAACCCAGACAUCCGCGUGCACGCGCUCGGGCGCUGGGGCUCUGCACGCUCGCGGACACGGAGCUGUCUGAGACCCCACCGGAUCCCCUGCAGACCUGGAGGGCAGCAGGGUUGUGUCUGUCCUCCCUCCCUCCUGGCACCUGGGGUGGCUUUGUUUGUCCUAGAGGUCCUCUGGCCUCCCAGGGAUUCAGGUCUGGAGCCAGGUGGGGAGCACAGCAUCCUCCCCACAUAUGUCUCUAGGUCAGGAUGUCCGCGUGCCUCCAAAACUCAGGCGGGGAGCAGGCAGGAGCGAGGAAAGGGGAGCUCAAGUGGUUUGUGGGGCAGAGUGAGGCCUCUUGCCAGAGCUGGGGAUGUGCCAACCUCAUUUCAAUCCAGUCAGCCCUGGGAGAGCAGGCUGGGGCCAUGUGCAUGGGGCUGUGCAGCGCCGAGCUGUGCUGUGCCAUGCGGCACCGCGCCACACACCACUGUGCUGCGCCGUGGUGCAUUGUGCUGUGCCGUGCGCCAUGCCACGCCGCGCCAUGCUGUGCCACACCGUGCAGAACCGUGCCACGCCGUGCAGCACCGAGCUGUGCCACCCCACGCCGUGCCAUGCCGUGCCAUUCCGCACCGUGCCGUGCUUUGCCAUGUGGUGCCAUGUGGCGCUGCGCCCUGCCACGCUGUGCCACGUGGUGCAGUGCCGUGCCAUGCUGUUCCGUGGCACUCCAUGCCGUGCUGUGCCGUGCCGUGCCGCGGGGCCGGCUGCUCUCCCCUCGCCGCCCCCCCUGUGCGGGCGCAGGCAGCUGGCUCUGUUUGCUGGAGGCUUUGCGCAUUCCAGUUCUUGGGUCACUCGCCUUCGAAACCUCUCCGGGGACGGAGGCAGUUGGGAGCUGUAACAAACAACCGAAGGGCUCCGAUGACGCCCGCGCCCAGCGCUGAGUGCCAGCAUCGGGGGGGACCCAGGGGGGGGCGGCGCCCCCCGCUCCCCUCACCCAACAGAACAGAGCAGCCUGGGGAGGUCCCGCCACAAACACGCGGCGCUGGGGCUCACGGUCAGGGAAGGGGCAGCUCCUUGCAGGACGUGGUGGCUUGCAGGGGAGCGGCGCAGUGCACAGCAGCUCUGCCACGGUCCCCAGCACGCGGGGCGCCGGAACCCAGCCUGCGUUUGUGCUGGGAGGGCUGAUGGAGCCCAGCGGGCCCAACGGCAGCGGGGCCACCGAAGCUGGCUCCCUUCCUCCUCCUCCUCCUCCUCCUCCUCCUCCUCCUCCUCCUCGCCUUGAGCUGUGCUGCUGAGGGACUGCAGCUCCCGUGGAUCAGGAGGAGAUUUAGGUCAAGCGCUCGACUGAGUCGAAACAGCCAUCUGUGUGCGGAGGAAGCGGCCACCCAAAGCCCCGGAGCGGCUGCCCCACCGGCGUCCCGUGCCCUCCCGGCCGGCACGCAGAGCCACCUUUGUCCGCAGCAAGAAAAUAAACGGGGGGGGAGGAAAAAUAGCCACCCUCUCCCUCCCCACACCCUUCCUUCGCCCCCUGCUUCCAUCGUCCUCCACCUCUGCCCGCUGGCAUCGCUGGCAAGCGGAGGGGAAACCUGGCAGGGCGCGGGGCCGAGGUCGCGGUGACACUGCGGGACGCGGUGCGGGUGCGAGGCCGGAGCCGAUCCCAGUGCCGUGUGCGGGUGGGAGCGGCGAUGCUGGCGGUGCGCCCGGCG